rnacentral:rRNA from 1 species
CGGGUGAGUAAUGUCUGGGAAACUGCCUGAUGGAGGGGGAGUAACUACUGGAAACGGCAGCUAAUACCGCAUAACGUCGCAAGACCAAAGAGGGGGACCUUCGGGCCUCCUGCCAUCAGAUGUGCCCAGAUGGGAUUAGCUAGUAGGUGGGGUAACGGCUCACCUAGGUGACGAUCCCUAGCUGGUCUGAGAGGAUGACCAGCCACACUGGAACUGAGACACGGUCCAGACUCCUACGGGAGGCAGCAUG